rnacentral:rRNA from 1 species
AGCGAACGCUGGCGGCAGGCUUAACACAUGCAAGUCGAACGCCCGGGCAACCGGGAGUGGCAGACGGGUGAGUAACGCGUGGGAACAUACCCUUUGGUUCGGAAUAACUCAGGGAAACUUGAGCUAAUACCGGAUAAGCCCUUAUGGGGAAAGAUUUAUCGCCGAAGGAUUGGCCCGCGUCCGAUUAGCUAGUUGGUGAGGUAACGGCUCACCAAGGCGACGAUCGGUAGCUGGUCUGAGAGGAUGAUCAGCCACACUGGGACUGAGACACGGCCCAGACUCCUACGGGAGGCAGCAGUGGGGAAUAUUGGACAAUGGGGGCAACCCUGAUCCAGCCAUGCCGCGUGAGUGAUGAAGGCCCUAGGGUUGUAAAGCUCUUUCGGCGGGGACGAUAAUGACGGUACCCGCAGAAGAAGCCCCGGCUAACUUCGUGCCAGCCGCCGCCGUAA